rnacentral:rRNA from 1 species
UACGAAGGGGGCGAGCGUUGUCCGGAAUCAUUGGGCGUAAAGCGCGUGUAGGCGGCCCGGUAAGUCCGCUGUGAAAGUCCAGGGCUCAACCCUGGGAUGCCGGUGGAUACUGUCGGGCUCGAGUCCGGAAGAGGCGAGUGGAAUUCCUGGUGUAGCGGUGAAAUGCGCAGAUAUCAGGAGGAACACCAAUGGCGAAGGCAGGUCUCUGGGCCAUAACUGACGCUGAGAAGCGAAAGCAUGGGGAGCGAACAGG